rnacentral:rRNA from 1 species
AUUGAACGCUGGCGGCGUGCCUAACACAUGCAAGUCGAGCGGUAACAGGUGUAGCAAUACAUGCUGACGAGCGGCGGACGGGUGAGUAACGCUUGGGAAUCUGCCUGUUAGUGGGGGGACAACCCGGGGAACUCGGGCUAAUACCGCAUACGCACUACGGUGGAAAGCCGGGGACCGCAAGGCCUGGCGCUAACAGAUGAGCCCAAGUCGGAUUAGCUAGUUGGUAGGUAAUGGCCUACCAAGGCGACGAUCCGUAACUGGUCUGAGAGGACGACCAGUCACACCGGAACUGAGACACGGUCCGGACUCCUACGGGAGGCAGCAGUGGGGAAUAUUGGACAAUGGGCGAAAGCCUGAUCCAGCGACGCCGCGUGGGUGAAGAAGGCCUGCGGGUUGUAAAGCCCUUUCAGUGGGGAAGAAAAGCC